CUCAGGAGCUUGUAUCUGCUGUCCACUCUGAUGCCUAUAUUCUUGCUCCUUUUUGAAAAAUGGUUCUUCAUUCCAAACUUCAUCUAAGAUGCUUUCCUGGGUGUCCCAUUCCACAUCAUUCACUACUUACUGGAUGAGUCAUAUACCGAAGUGUAACACAUUCCCACAAACCUAACGGCUUCAGGCAACAUAACACUGAUGAACUUAGGGCCAGGAGACAGGGUUCCGUUUAGCUCAGUCCUUUAUUUCCAGAGUCUUUUGUGAGGCUGCAAACACAUUGUUAGGUGGGCCUUGGGUCGCAUCUGCACUCAUGGCCACCCUGCCCUUUUAGUUCUUUUGUCAUAAGGUACAGACUUGAGUCGUGCGCUUCUGGUUUUUUUCAGUUCUGUGGCUGCCUUUCUGCCCUGUGUUACUGAGGGUUGGAAUUCUACAAAAGUAAUGUCUAGACUCCUUUGCCAGUGGACUUGCAGGCAGCUUCCAAUAACUGGAAGACCUCGUGGGUACUGGGCAGGUGAAAGUAAGGUAGAAGACAUUUUUCCUUUUCUGUUUCUGGUGGCAUUGUAAUCAGCACUGGGAAGCUCCAGGUUCCAGUGACUUGUGUGAUUGAGAAAGGCUUCUGGAAUGUUCAGUCAUGGCCAGUUCCAACCCUGUCAGAUGUUCCAGGCUUGCCAGUGGUAGGUGGAUUCUGGACUCUGGCGACCUGCCUUCUGCUCUGUAGCUCAAGCCCAGGGGUGUCUGUGACUUUCUGCCAUUAGUCACUAAUCUCUGGGUGACCUCACGUCGCAGGCUGGGUUCUCUGGAAGCUGACACUAGGUGUAGUUUGGCAGGCUAGAGUGCUAUUAAAACUGCACGUCUGUGAGAGGCAACGGGACUGGGCAAACGAGACACGGAGCACUAUUUACUGCCUUGGCUGAACAUGAAUGAACACAGAAGGCACAGAGCCACCUCUGACAUGAGAAGAUCUUGGGCCAUUCAUCAUAAAAAGAGCGCAGAGAGAAGAUCAAGAAGGGAAUCCAACUUAGCAAGGCUCAGCAUGACCACGGGGAAGAGCAAGCCUCAGCCGCCUGCGUUCCAGCUGUGCGUGACGACUGCCUGAGACAGGUCUCUCAGAGGCGGACAGAGACGGGCGCACCAUCCGAGAGGGGCCUGGCAGGACGACGUGCCAUUUAACAGGAGGGGAAGCCCCAUGCCAUUCCACAAGAGAAGUAGAGAAUCAAGCCACAAAUGCAAAACCAAAAAGCUAUAUUGGCCAAGCACAAGAGUCACGUUUGGCUGGACUUUGAAGGUAAAAAAACAAACAGACAAGCAAAACCAAACCAAACAAAAAACCACCGCAAACUAAAGCAAGCCACUAAUCAAAAAGGCGGGCAGAUAUGUAAAGCCAGUGGAGCGAGUCCUGCUGCGUUAACUGGGCAAAGCAGCUGGCUUGAGUUUGAGGGAAGCUUAUCUAUUCUGAGAUCACACUACAAUUGCUUUCAGCAGAUCUUACAAAAAAAAAUACAAGGGAAGGAUAAAAUCCCCAGAUUCUGAUAAUAAUUAGAUCUCUCUACGUGUACCUACAUACACAUGUGAGUGUGUAUCUAUAUAUAUAUGUUUGUCUCUGUAUGUGUGUGUGUGUGUAAAAUGUAUGUAUGUUUGCCUCUCUCCUGUCCUAAUUCAUGCUUUCAUGGUCUCUUUCUCGCACUGGGUCCUCCUCUCCUAUCAUCCUUGGCUACUAGGCAGGGCCACGGGGUCGUGUGUCCUCUUGAGGGUGUUGUCCUCUGAUGGAGAAGUGAGUAGCAAUCACCGCGUCCAGAAAGAAAAGCCCUCUUCAGAGGCAGGAACUACAUCUCCCCCCUGUGAUAUCACACCGAGGGCUAGAAUCAGGUUGAGUGCCUGGGGAAGGGGAGCCAUGUCAUUUCAAAGCAGUUAGCAGACACCAACGGAUCCAUCUGGCCUGGUGAGGGAAGCGGCUUCCUGUUAGGAAGGUGUAGCUGGGCUCCCAGCCCCUUAGCGCACACGGUGCUUCUCUCUGUGCGAGGGGGUUCAGGUGGGAAGGAGGGCAGCACAGAGCCGAGCUGCCCGCUGUACGAAUUCGGCAUUCCUUGCGCAAGUCCCCUGUUUUAGAAAGCUGCCUUCUUAUCAGAGUCCAAAUCGAAGACACGCCUCCUAUUUGAGGCUGGACCCGAACAGAGAUCACGUUUCCACCCGCUUCCUCCGGUUAACAGAAAUCUGGCAGCCAGGCAGGAGUCUCUAUGCUGAGAUUAGCAAAAAAAAAAAAGUCAGCCCGAAGCUCUGCUAAACGCCGGAUGAAGAUGGUGACGGACAGAUGACGCGAGGUGGCAGGUAGGCCAAUGGUCUGUUCCUGCAAAAGAAAGCGGUCUGCAGCAGACUGACCUCUGAGGGCCUGAGAGAAAGCAACUGUUGAGAUUAAGAUUGAGGUGACCUUGUGCGCAGGUCUGUCCCUGCAUACGCAAAGGAAGAAGAGGCUGGAAAAAAUAGUGCAUGGGAGCAUACACUAAGCUAGCAGAUGACAGUAAUCCAGUCAUUGCAAUAAGCUCUCUCCAGAAGGCAUCACAUUCUUAGGGGAAAGACGGGUCCCAUUUGUUUUUAGAUUUAUUUAUUUUAUAAUACGUGUAUGGGUGUUUGGCCUGCGUGUAUGUAUGGACACCGUGUGCAUGCCUGGUGCCCAUGAAGGUUAAAAGGGAGAUCAGAUCCCCUGGAACCGGAAUUACAAAUGGUUAUGAGCCGUCAAGAGACGGGUAGGAAUAGUGAGGGCUGUAUUCCAGGCACUAGGGAAGGUUUGGUCAGCAAGAGACUUAACAACAACAACAAAAUUACAGUAUCAGACUCUGAAACCUGGACAAUGAAAUGACAAAUGUGUAUGGGCUGGCGUGUGUCAGGAGGAUUCUAGGCGUCACACAAAGAAGCAGGCUGCGCAGCGAUGACUUUAAAGGCAAAGAGGAAGGGCCCCCAAAAAUGCUGGAUAAACAACAUAAAGGAAGACUGUGGACCAUGUGUAUGAUGAUAACCAAGCAUCUAGGACUUCCUAGGACAGAAACAACUGGAGAACCACCAGAAACUGGCUGCCCAUGCAUGCUUCAGCAUUGCUGGGGCAUAGAUGAUGAAAUCAUGAGCCACUGUGUGGGUGCUGAGAACUGAGCCCAGGUCCCCUGCAAGAACAAGUGCUCUUAACUUUACCGAGCCAUCUCAGAAGCCCCCAAAUGGGCUGUGUUUUCCAACGAUUCUGUUUUGUGAGUUCUCCACGCAACCUUUGAUUAUAGAAGACCGCUGGGAUCUUCUGAAUUUCUGUGGAUCUGCAUCUUUCCAGACUCCUACCUUGGCGAAAAGGCGGGAGUAGCCACCUUUGGUUGUUCUUAAGGCUGAGAUCCCAGUGUUGGCCAGGCGCCUCACAUCCGCAUCGGGGAGAGCUUAGUCAUCUAACUGCCCAAUAAGCACCAACUGGGUCAAGAUGUCAAGUUCUACGAGGAUGUCUUGAGGGUACAACUGUGUUUUCUCUUUCCUUUAGUAUUACGCAAUUGCAAAGCUGGGAUUGCCCGUGGUAGCCAUCUGAAUUAUCUUGUUCAUCCCAUAAAAAAGGAAUCCUCGCAGAGUGAUGGUUCUUCGGAAGCGACCCAGUCAUGGCUUAGUACACGUUUCUCUGCAAUGUGUUCCUGGUCCUCUAUUCAGGAUGUGUGAAGAAAAUGCUCCAAGCUCCAAGUUCCUUUCCUUCUAGCAAUCAAAUAAAUCUAAGCUUAAAUAAACUUGUUUCCUGACUACA